AUGCCUCCAUUUGGCGCAGCACAUAUACUAAAAUUGGAACGAUACAGAGAUUAGCAAGGCCCCUGCACAAAUUAACUAUUUUAUGAUAAUUAUCUCCUGACUUGU